UACAGAGGGUGCAAGCGUUGUUCGGAAUCAUUGGGCGUAAAGGGCGUGUAGGCGGUUUGUUAAGUCAUGUGUGAAAUCCCUCGGCUCAACCGGGGAACGACGCAUGAAACUGACAAGCUAGAGUACCAAAGAGGGGGGUGGAAUUCCCGGUGUAGCGAUGAAAUGCGUAGAUAUCGGGAGGAACCCCAGUGGCGAAGGCGGCCCCCUGGUUGGAUACUGACGCUGAGACGCGAAAGCGUGGGGAGCAAACAGG
rnacentral:rRNA from 1 species